rnacentral:rRNA from 1 species
CAGCUCUCCGAGUGGUGUGGAUGUUUAUUGGGCCUAAAGCAUCCGUAGCUGGCUGGGCAAGUCCCCUGUUAAAUCCACCGAUUUAAUCGUUGGUGUGCGGGGGAUACUGCUCGGCUAGGGGACGGGAGAGGCAGACGGUAUUUCCGGGGUAGGGGUGAAAUCCUAUAAUCCCGGGAGGACCACCAGUGGCGAAGGCUGUCUGCUAGAACGCGCCCGACGGUGAGGGAUGAAAGCUGGGGGAGCGAACCGGAUUAGAUACCCGAGUAGUCC